rnacentral:rRNA from 1 species
ACUGCUCAGUAACACGUGGACAACCUACCCUUGGGUCUGGCAUAAUCCUGGGAAACUGGGGAUAAUUCCGGAUAGGCCACGGAUGCUGGAAUGCGCUGUGGCCGAAAGCUCCGGCGCCCAAGGAUGGGUCUGCGGCCUAUCAGGGUUGUAGUGGGUGUAAUGUACCUACUAGCCUACGACGGGUACGGGUUGUGAGAGCAAGAGCCCGGAGAUGGAUUCUGGAUGAGGGUGUGUUUCCUUGCACACAUNCCAAUCUGGGCUUUGCAAGGGGGGUUAAGUCGUAACAAGGUAGCCGA